rnacentral:rRNA from 1 species
UACGUAGGGUGCAGGCGUUAAUCGGAAUUACUGGGCGUAAAGCGUGCGCAGGCGGUUUGCUAAGACAGGUGUGAAAUCCCCGGGCUUAACCUGGGAACUGCGCUUGUUACUGGCAAGCUGGAGUGUGGCAGAGGGGGGUGGAAUUCCACGUGUAGCAGUGAAAUGCGUAGAGAUGUGGAGGAACACCGAUGGCGAAGGCAGCCCCCCGGGCUAACACUGACGCUCAUGCACGAAAGCGUGGGGAGCAAACAGG